AAUUUGAUCAGGGAAUUAGGGAAUUUUGCAAGAGAGACAUACGAGCCGGCCUGUUUAAAGCUGUCGAUAGGUAAUAUUCAUCUUGUUUGUGUUUUGAGAGGUAGGGUUUACAAAUUCAUCAUUAACCACGACGGUAGAAUUCACUGCUUCCGAGUAAGUCUGCAUGUAGCUGUAGUUUCAUAGAAUCUUACCAGAGAGAUAGAUGCUAUGAAACCUGUUGCGAAACAACUAAAGAAAGAAGAUGACGAUGACAAUGAAGAUGAAGGAAACAUCAUGCAUCAUGAAGAUGCAGUCCUUCCGUCGAAUCAAUAAUUAACCGAUAUAAUCUGUCAAUGGAUCCUACAAACUCCAUGAAAUCCUCUUCGUCCUCCUUCUUCGUUAAUGUCCAGAUUCUGGUGGUUGUUUCCUACUCCACCAAUCGGUGCCUUGCACGCAGACCACCUGGUUCUCAGAUUCCAUGGCCUCACCUCUUCAGCCGCUGCAGGGGAUUUUUCACUUUCCUUCUUCUUGGUGCAUAUCUUGUUCCUAGCUCUGUCAUCAAGGUAGCAGAGAGUGUUGCCAAAAAGAAGUUGGAUUCUGCUUUUGCUAUCGUCAGAUCUCCAGGGCUUCAUGUCAUAGAAGAUGAAGCUAUGAGGUAGCAGAGAGGGUUGCCAAAAAAGAGUUAGAUUCUGCAAAAAGUUUAUUCAAUAAUAGGUAGCAGAGAGGGUUUCUGAAAGGAGUUGGAUUCUGCUUUUGCUAUCGUUAGACCUCCAGGGCAUCAUGCCGAAGAAAAUGAAGGUUAAUGGCUUUUUAGCAAUUCAGGAAUACGGAUGGAUACUGGAACUCAAUUCUAGUAGCAGAGAGGGUUGCCAAAAAGGAGUGCUUUUGCUAUCGUUAGGCCUCCAGGGCAUCAUGCCGAAGAAGAUGAAGCUAUGGGGUUCUGUUUAUUUAACAGUGUGUCUGUUGCAACACAACUUCUGUUAAAUGAAAGAGCAGAAGGACACUAUAUCUUCGGAAUCUUGUAUUUGAUUCCUUGCAAUUUGCUGAUGCUGAAAGUAGACUUGACCAUUUUGUGGAAUUCAUAUACCAGACACUCUUGCAUCAUGAUGACUCAGAUAUAACAGUCAUCAAAUUAAAAUUAUGGAGAGAAAGAGCACGCUUCAUUUUAAAGAUUAAAUGGAUUGAUUUCGCUUUGAAGCAUAAUGUUGAAGAUCUUGUUAUGAAGCUUGUGUUGCUGAACCAAGAGGGUUUGGCCCCUGUAUCUUUUCCUCCAGAACAUUGAAAAGAUUUACCUUUUUCAGUCAAGCUUCGACAUUCUCAGAUUGCCCAUAUCUGUUUAUCUUCCCAGUCUUAAAGAAUUGCAAUUUUGGGGUGCCAUUUUCACUUAUGAUAUGACAUGGGAAUUAUUACUCAUUGUGUCUGGUGCUGGAAUCUGUGCAUUUGUGGAAUUGCGAUGGCUUCUCUAAAGUUUCUAACUGUUUCCGCUCUCAGACUUAAGUAUCUUCAUCUAGACUAUUGUCGUGGGCUCCAAACGAUUGAGAUGAAUCUUCAUACCCCAGUCUUAUAUAACUUAUAUUAAGGGGAAAUCUUGCAAGAAUCUAUCAUUUCAGGGGUGGCCUUUCUAUUCAUUAUGCAGAUGCAGAUAUUCAAGUUGGUGAAGUUUACAGAAACUAAAUGAGUAUAGAUGUUCUUGGUCGCACUGCUUUAAAGUUGCUUAAUGAACUCUUUAACAUUACUGUACUAGCUGUGGAUAAUUUGUUGUGGGAGGUAUAUGCUCUGUCCAUUUCUUAUACUUGGCUGUAUUCUUUUAGUGUUUGUGUCAUUUUCCUGGGGAGUGGACAAUUAUAUUUUAGUUACCUAUAAUUUUAGGGGACUUCAAUUAUUUCUUCUGCGGAAAUGCUUAGGUGUAUAGCUAGAAUAAAUGUUUAAUCCAAAAGAAAACCUUUAAUAAGUACAAUUUUGGGAGUAUCA